GACGAACGCUGGCGGCGUGCUUAACACAUGCAAGUCGAGCGGUAAGGCCUCUUCGGGGGUACACGAGCGGCGAACGGGUGAGUAACACGUGGGUGACCUGCCCUCAGCUCUGGGAUAAGCCUGGGAAACUGGGUCUAAUACCGGAUAUGACCACAUGUUGCAUGGUGUGUGGUGGAAAGUUUUUUCGGCUGGGGAUGGGCCCGCGGCCUAUCAGCUUGUUGGUGGGGUGAUGGCCUACCAAGGCGACGACGGGUAGCCGGCCUGAGAGGGCGACCGGCCACACUGGGACUGAGACACGGCCCAGACUCCUACGGGAGGCAGCAGUGGGGAAUAUUGCGCAAUGGGCGGAAGCCUGACGCAGCGACGCCGCGUGGGGGAUGACGGCCUUCGGGUUGUAAACCGCUUUCGACCGGGACGAAGCGUAAGUGACGGUACCGGUAGAAGAAGCACCGGCCAACUACGUG
rnacentral:rRNA from 1 species